UAAAUUUUCGCUUCUCUCACCUAAACCCAUGCUUUCCCUCUCCAACAACCAUGUUAAGCCAUGCCAUCAUCUUGGGUUUUGAGCUUCAAAAGGAGGAUGGGGCUAUCAUCAUUGGCAAAAUAGACGAGGACUUGAAGCUCUUUACUCGCAUGUCUUAGAAACCAAGAGAGGUUUGAAGUGGUAUUGUGCUAUGCAUGCUUCUUCUAAGCAAGGUAUUUCAAGAAGGAUUAUUGAUCUUGUCUUCUAGCGUGGGCUAGACUUUGAAGACCUCCAGUUUCGCGCUGGGCAAUCGGUGGAACAAGAACAGUAUUUGACUCGGGCCAUCGAGGUAAAACAAAUGGACUCCAAUAUUCAAACUUGGGUGCCGCCGAGGUAAAACAAUUGGCUAUAGUAAGUUUGGGAGAUGUAUAAUUAUGAGAAAACUGUUACAUUUGGAAUUUGUAUUUUGUGUCAAAUCAUUUUGUUUUGGAGAAUUUAUUUGAUAAUUAUCACACUAUGAUAUUUGAUUUA